rnacentral:rRNA from 1 species
AUGAACGCUGGCGGCGUGCCUAAUACCUGCAAGUCGAGCGCACGGACGAGAAGCUUGCUUCUCUGAUGUUAGCGGCGGACGGGUGAGUAACACGUGGAUAACCUACCUAUAAGACUGGGAUAACUUCGGGAAACCGGAGCUAAUACCGGAUAAUAUUUUGAACCGCAUGGUUCAAAAGUGAAAGACGGUCUUGCUGUCACUUAUAGAUGGAUCCGCGCUGCAUUAGCUAGUUGGUAAGGUAACGGCUUACCAAGGCAACGAUGCAUAGCCGACCUGAGAGGGUGAUCGGCCACACUGGAACUGAGACACGGUCCAGACUCCUACGGGAGGCAGCAGUAGGGAAUCUUCCGCAAUGGGCGAAAGCCUGACGGAGCAACGCCGCGUGAGUGAUGAAGGUCUUCGGAUCGUAAAACUCUGUUAUUAGGGAAGAACAUAUGUGUAAGUAACUGUGCACAUCUUGACGGUACCUAAUCAGAAAGCCACGGCUAACUACGUG